UGGGGAAUCUUGCACAAUGGAGGCAACUCUGAUGCAGCGACGCCGCGUGAGCGAUGAAGCCCUUCGGGGUGUAAAGCUCUUUCGACGGGAAAGAUAAUGACGGUACCCGGAGAAGAAGCUGCGGCUAACUACGUGCCAGCAGCCGCGGUAAUACGUAGGCAGCGAGCGUUGUUCGGAAUUACUGGGCGUAAAGAGUGUGUAGGCGGUGCUCCAAGUCUGGUGUGAAAUCUCCCGGCUUAACUGGGAGGGUGCGCCGGAAACUGGAGUGCUCGAGGGUGGGAGAGGUAAGCGGAAUUCCUGGUGUAGCGGUGAAAUGCGUAGAUAUCAGGAGGAACACCUGUGGUGUAGACAGCUUACUGGACCACUUCUGACGCUGAGACACGAAAGCGUGGGUAGCAAACAGGAUUAGAUACCCCGGUAGUCC
rnacentral:rRNA from 1 species